AAUCCCGUGCGAUGAGAUGUCCCAGACCUAUGUAAAGUUCCUUCGAAGAGUCGAGUUGUUUGGGAAUGCAGCUCUAAGUGGGUGGUAAAUUCCAUCUAAAGCUAAAUAUUGGCGAGAGACCGAUAGCGAACAAGUACAGUGAUGGAAAGAUGAAAAGAACUUUGAAAAGAGAGUGAAAAAGUACGUGAAAUUGUUGAAAGGGAAGGGCUUGAGAUCAGACUUGGUAUUUUGUAUGUUACUCUCUCGGGGGUGGCCUCUACAGUUUACCGGGCCAGCAUCAGUUUGAGCGGUAGGAUAAGUGCAAAGAAAUGUGGCACUGCUUCGGUAGUGUGUUAUAGUCUUUGUCGAUACUGCCAGCUUAGACUGAGGACUGCGGCUUCGGCCUAGGAUGUUGGCAUAAUGAUCUUAAGUCGCCCGUCUUGAAACACGGACCAAGGAGUCUAACGUCUAUGCGAGUGUUUGGGUGUAAAACCCGUACGCGUAAUGAAAGUGAACGUAGGUAGGACCUCCUUUAGGAGUGCACUAUCGACCGAUCCUGAUGUCUUCGGAUGGAUUUGAGUAAGAGCAUAGCUGUUGGGACCCGAAAGAUGGUGAACUAUGCCUGAAUAGGGUGAAUCCAGAGGAAACUCUGGUGGAGGCUCGUAGCGGUUCUGACGUGCAAAUCGAUCGUCGAAUUUGGG
rnacentral:rRNA from 1 species